rnacentral:lncRNA from 1 species
GGUUUUUUUUGUUUGUUUGUUUUUUCUUCCAAAGGCUUUUGACUUAUUUUGUUGGACUGUUGUCAUGUAUUGAAAUAAUAUGAAUUAAUAGUGGCUAACUGUGGAUUAAGCAGAACACAUACUGUUUGUUUUUUUUGCUAAAACUUUGAUAUGCUGUUCACAUUAACCAAAAGGGAAGCAUGUUAAAUAAUUCAAGUUACAUGAAAUGUCUCAGUCUAGAAAAUUUAUAGUUUAGGGCAACAAAAAGUAUGGAGGCGCACGAAGUUCCAGCAGCACAGCCUAACCAAGCAACUUUUAAUAUGUACUCCAACACAACUGGCUGUAAAUAUGGCUUGAGUCAGUGUAACCACAUUUCUGCUGGAGGCUUUCUCUCACCCAGACCCACAGGCUAAGUUGCUGUCCUGAGAAAAGGAGAUGUAUAACAAGCAGAUACAACUUUAGAAAACCUGACACAUUUUGAUCUUUGGAUGACGUCCCAGAAAAACACCAGAGUGAGUUGAAGCUGUUAGAAGGAGCUGUCUGGGUGCGAGUCUCCUCAGAGUGCUUCUGUCAUGUGAAGGCAGCUCUCAGUCCUGCCUGUCUGUGUCUUUGACCAGAGAGCUGUGUGCGCCCCAUCCCUGGAGGUGCGCAAGGCCAGGCUGGAUGGGGCAGGGCAGCCUAAGCUAAAUGGUGUGUGUAUAUGGGUGGGGGCAGCAUGGCAGGCGGUUGGAACCGGGUGGGCUUUAAGGUGCCUUCUACCCUAAGCCAUGCUGUUGU